rnacentral:rRNA from 1 species
CCCGGGUCUUGUACACACCGCCCGUCAAGCCACCUGAGUUGGAGUACCCGAAAUCGACGAUCUAACCCGCAAGGGAGGAAGUCGCUUAAGGUAAGACCAGUGAGGAGGGCU